GCUGUGUCUACAGGCAGAAGAGGCUGGUUUGCUUUCUCCACCAGCUUCCUGCACCUCCCUGGCCAGGUCUGCAAGGUGAUUCAGCACAGGAUCAGUGAGAUGGUUGUAGUGAGAUGGGGCACUACCACAGACAAGGGCCAGACAGGGAUAACCACUGCAUGGGUGCUUAGAGUGAAAAAUUCAGAAAUUCUACCUGAGUUCAGGAACUACUACUGCCUGAAUUUAGGAACUUCAGAAAUGUGCCUCAUUUUGAAGAGUGAUGAUAAGUCAAGCAGGAUUUGCAUAGACACCACGAGAGGAUCCCCUGGCACUUUACAAGCAGCACAGACAUAAUAAAACAA
rnacentral:lncRNA from 1 species